rnacentral:rRNA from 1 species
GACGAACGCUGGCGGCGCGCCUAACACAUGCAAGUCGAGCGAGAACCGGAGCUUCGGCUCCGGGGACAGCGGCGAACGGGUGAGUAACACGUGGAUAACCUGCCCUCGGCACCGGAAUAGCCCGGGGAAACCCGGAUUAAUGCCGGAUGGCCCCACAUCCCUGCGGGGAACGUGAGAAAAGGUAGCUUCGGCCUCUGGCCGAGGAUGGGUCCGCGGUGGAUUAGCUUGUUGGUGGGGUAAUGGCCUACCAAGGCGACGAUCCAUAGCUGGUCUGAGAGGACGAUCAGCCACACUGGGACUGAGACACGGCCCAGACGCCUACGGGAGGCAGCAGUGGGGAAUCUUGCGCAAUGGGCGAAAGCCUGACGCAGCGACGCCGCGUGCGGGAAGAAGGCCUUAGGGUUGUAAACCGCUUUCAGGAGGGACGAAGCCACUCGGGUGAACAGCCCAGAGGGUGACGGUACCUCCAGAAGAAGCCCCGGCUAACUACGUGCCAGCCGCCGCGGUAACAC